rnacentral:rRNA from 1 species
GACGAACGCUGGCGGCGUGCUUAACACAUGCAAGUCGAACGGAAAGGCCCUGCUUUUGUGGGGUGCUCGAGUGGCGAACGGGUGAGUAACACGUGAGUAACCUGCCCUUGACUUUGGGAUAACUUCAGGAAACUGGGGCUAAUACCGGAUAGGAGCUCCUGCUGCAUGGUGGGGGUUGGAAAGUUUCGGCGGUUGGGGAUGGACUCGCGGCUUAUCAGCUUGUUGGUGGGGUAGUGGCUUACCAAGGCUUUGACGGGUAGCCGGCCUGAGAGGGUGACCGGCCACAUUGGGACUGAGAUACGGCCCAGACUCCUACGGGAGGCAGCAGUGGGGAAUAUUGCACAAUGGGCGGAAGCCUGAUGCAGCAACGCCGCGUGCGGGAUGACGGCCUUCGGGUUGUAAACCGCUUUCGCCUGUGACGAAGCGUGUGUGACGGUAAUGGGUAAAGAAGCACCGGCUAACUACGUGCCAGCAGCCGCGGUGAUACGUAGGGUGCGAGCGUUGUCCGGAUUUAUUGGGCGUAAAGGGCUCGUAGGUGGUUGAUCGCGUCGGAAGUGUAAUCUUGGGGCUUAACCCUGAGCGUGCUUUCGAUACGGGUUGACUUGAGGAAGGUAGGGGAGAAUGGAAUUCCUGGUGGAGCGGUGGAAUGCGCAGAUAUCAGGAGGAACACCAGUGGCGAAGGCGGUUCUCUGGGCCUUUCCUGACGCUGAGGAGCGAAAGCGUGGGGAGCGAACAGGCUUAGAUACCCUGGUAGUCCACGCUGUAAACGGUGGGUACUAGGUGUGGGGUCCAUUCCACGGGUUCCGUGCCGUAGCUAACGCUUUAAGUACCCCGCCUGGGGAGUACGGCCGCAAGGCUAAAACUCAAAGGAAUUGACGGGGCCCCGCACAAGCGGCGGAGCAUGCGGAUUAAUUCGAUGCAACGCGUAGAACCUUACCUGGGUUUGACAUGGAUCGGGAGUGCUCAGAGAUGGGUGUGCCUCUUUUGGGGUCGGUUCACAGGUGGUGCAUGGCUGUCGUCAGCUCGUGUCGUGAGAUGUUGGGUUAAGUCCCGCAACGAGCGCAACCCUUGUUCACUGUUGCCAGCACGUUAUGGUGGGGACUCAGUGGAGACCGCCGGGGUCAACUCGGAGGAAGGUGGGGAUGACGUCAAGUCAUCAUGCCCCUUAUGUCCAGGGCUUCACGCAUGCUACAAUGGCUGGUACAGAGAGUGGCGAGCCUGUGAGGGUGAGCGAAUCUCGGAAAGCCGGUCUCAGCUCGGAUUGGGGUCUGCAACUCGACCUCAUGAAGUCGGAGUCGCUAGUAAUCGCAGAUCAGCAACGCUGCGGUGAAUACGUUCCCGGG